AAAUUGAAGAGUUUGAUCAUGGCUCAGAUUGAACGCUGGCGGCAGGCCUAACACAUGCAAGUCGAACGGUAACAGGAAACAGCUUGCUGCUUCGCUGACGAGUGGCGGACGGGUGAGUAAUGUCUGGGAAACUGCCUGAUGGAGGGGGAUAACUACUGGAAACGGUAGCUAAUACCGCAUAACGUCGCAAGACCAAAGAGGGGGACCUUCGGGCCUCUUGCCAUCGGAUGUGCCCAGAUGGGAUUAGCUAGUA
rnacentral:rRNA from 1 species